rnacentral:rRNA from 1 species
UGAAGUAAGUAAGGGCGUACGGUGAAUGCCUUGGUGCCAACAGGCGAAGAAGGACGCGGCAAGCUGCGAAAAGCCUCGGGAAGCUGCAAGCAAGCGAUGAUCCGGGGAUAUCCGAAUGGGGUAACCUGAUCGAGGCAAUACUCGAUCGUUCAUACCUGAAUACAUAGGGUAUGAAACGCGAAACCCGCUGAAGUGAAACAUCUCAGUAAGCGGAGGAAAAGAAAGAGAAAUCGAUUCCGUAAGUAGUGGCGAGCGAAAGCGGAUGGAGCCCAAACCGAAGGUAUUCCUUCGGGGUUGUAGGACCACGUCAUAUUCGACCAUACUGGAUAGUAGAACAGCCUGGAAAGGCUGGCCGGAGAAGGUGAAAGCCCUGUAGACGAAAUCCAGAGUGGGAAUUAGUGGUAUCCUGAGUAAUACAUCACACGUGGAACGAUGUAUGAACCCGCGCGGACCACCGCGCAAGGCUAAAUACUAGUUGGCGACCGAUAGUGAACAAGUACCGCGAGGGAAAGGUGAAAAGAACCGCUGUGAGCGGAGUGAAAUAGAACCUGAAACCGUAUGUCUACAAAGUGUCAGAGCAGAGCAAUCUGCGAUGGCGUGCCUUUUGUUUAAUGAGUCUGCGAGUCAGUGUUUGUGGCAAGACUAAGGGCUUCCGGCCCGGAGUCGCAGCGAAAGCAAGUCCGAACAGGGCGCAAUAAGUCGCAGGUACUGGACCCGAAGCGGAGGUGACCUACCCUUGGCCAGGUUGAAGCAUGGGUAAAACCAUGUGGAGGACCGAACAGGUGAACGUUGAAAAGUUCUCUGAUGAGCUGAGGGUAGGAGUGAAAGGCUAAUCAAACCCCGUGAUAGCUGGUUCUCUUCGAAAUGCAUUUAGGUGCAGCGUCACGUGCUGAUGCGCGGGGGUAGAGCACUGACAAGGCUAGGGGGCACACCCGCUUACCAAACCUUAUCAAACUCCGAAUACCGUGCAAUGGAACGUGGCAGUGAGACAGUGGGGGAUAAGCUUCAUUGUCGAGAGGGAAACAACCCAGACCAGCAGCUAAGGUGCCUAAAUAACGCUCAGUGGAAAGGAUGUGGGAUUACACAGACAGUGAGGAUGUUGGCUUAGAAGCAGCCACCAUUUAAAAAAUGCGUAAUAGCUUACUCAUCGAGUGAUCCUGCGCCGAAAAUGAUUGGCGAUCAAGCGUUAUACCGAAGCUCUGGACUUUGCCGCAAGGCAGAGUGGUAGAAGAGCGUUGCAUGCGCGUCGAAGGGCGAUGGCGACUGACCCUGGAGCACAUGCAAGUGAGUAUGCAGACAUGAGUAACGUUAAGCCGGGUGAAAUCCCCGGCCGCCGUAAACCCGAGGUUUCCAGGGCAACGUGUUUCGUCCCUGGGUUAGCCGGGACCUAAGCCGAGGCCGAGAGGCGUAGGCGAUGGACAUCAGGUUAAUAAUCCUGAGCUCGCAACCCUUAAACUGGGGGGACGCAUGAGAAAAGAUGACUAGGUUAUUGAAUUCCGAGUUGAGUCUACGGACUCAGCGCAUCAUUGGAUCGAGUGCCAAGAAAAGCCCCAGCGUAUGCUAAGCGACCCGUACCGCAAACCGACACAGGUGGGUGGGUAGAAUAUACCAAGGCGUAAGAGUGAAACCUGGUUAAGGAACUCGGCAAAUUAGCCCCGUAACUUCGGAAGAAGGGGUGCCUGCAGCGAUGCAGGCCGCAGAGAAAUGGCCCAACCGACUGUUUAUCAAAAACACAGCACUCUGCAAAGACGCAAGUCGAAGUAUAGGGUGUGACACGUGACCAAUGCCGAAAGAUUAAGGCAAGGGGUUAGCCGCAAGGCGAAGCUCUAAACCCAAGUCCCGGUGAAUGUCGGCCGUAACUAUAACGGUCCUAAGGUAGCGAAAUUCCUUGUCGGGUAAGUUCCGACCUGCACGAAUCGUGAAACGAGUUGGGCACUGUCUCAACCAGGCGCUCAGUGAAAUUGUAGUGGCGGUGAAGAUGCCGCCUACCCGCAGAAGGACGGAAAGACCCUAUAGACCUUAACUGUAAGCUGUCAUUGUUUCUUCGGUUUUAAUGCUCAGAGUAAGUGGGAGACGCUGAAGACGCCCUUUAGGGGGCGUCCGAGUCAUCAAUGAGACACCACCCUUUGAAACUGGAGGAUCUAACCCUGAGCCGUGAAUCCGGCCAGAGGACCGUGUCAGCCGGUCAGUUUUACUGGGGCGGUAUCCUCCCAAAGAGUAACGGAGGAGCGCGAAGGUGGGCUCAGCCCGGUUGGCAACCGGGUGUCGAGUGCAUGGGCAUAAGCCCGCCUAACUGUGAGACCAACAAGUCGAGCAGAUGCGAAAGCAGGCCCAAGUGAUCCGGCGGUAGAAAGUGGAAUUGCCGUCGCUCAACGGAUAAAAGGUACCUUAGGGAUAACAGGCUGAUCACGCCCAAGAGUUCAUAUCGACGGCGUGGUUUGGCACCUCGAUGUCGGCUCGUCGCAUCCUGGG